rnacentral:rRNA from 1 species
GACGGAGGGUGCAAGCGUUGCUCGGAAUCACUGGGCGUAAAGGGCUCGUAGGUGGCCAACUAAGUCAGACGUGAAAUCCCUCGGCUUAACCGGGGAACUGCGUCUGAUACUGGAUGGCUUGGAUUCGGGAGAGGAAUGCGGAAUUCCAGGUGUAGCGGUGAAAUGCGUAGAUAUCUGGAGGAACACCGGUGGCGAAGGCGGCAUCCUGGACCGACACUGACGCUGAGGAGCGAAAGCCAGGGGAGCAAACGGG